rnacentral:rRNA from 1 species
UGCAAGUCGAACGGUAACAGCGGGAGCUUGCUCCCGGCUGACGAGUGGCGGACGGGUGAGUAACGCGUAGGAAUCUGCCCAGUAGUGGGGGACAACCCGGGGAAACUCGGGCUAAUACCGCAUACGCCCUACGGGGGAAAGAUGGCCUCUCCUUGGAAGCUGUCACUAUUGGAUGAGCCUGCGUCGGAUUAGCUAGUUGGUAGGGUAAAAGCCUACCAAGGCGACGAUCCGUAGCUGGUCUGAGAGGACGACCAGCCACACUGGGACUGAGACACGGCCCAGACUCCUACGGGAGGCAGCAGUGGGGAAUAUUGCACAAUGGGGGCAACCCUGAUGCAGCAAUGCCGCGUGUGUGAAGAAGGCCUGCGGGUUGUAAAGCACUUUCAAUGGGGAAGAAAAGGUGAGGGUGAAUAGCCCUUGCUCUUGACGUUACCUUUAGAAGAAGCACCGGCUAACUCCGUGCCAGCAGCCGCGGUAAUACGGAGGGUGCGAGCGUUAAUCGGAAUUACUGGGCGUAAAGCGCGCGUAGGCGGUUUGUUAAGUCAGAUGUGAAAGCCCUGGGCUCAACCUGGGAACUGCAUUUGAUACUGUCGGACUGGAGUAUGGUAGAGGGAAGUGGAAUUCCGGGUGUAGCGGUGAAAUGCGUAGAUAUCCGGAGGAACACCAGUGGCGAAGGCGACUUCCUGGACCAAUACUGACGCUGAGGUGCGAAAGCGUGGGUAGCAAACAGGAUUAGAUACCCUGGUAGUC